AGAGACAGCAGCAGCCACGGGAAUACGUAGGUGGCGAGCGUUGUCCGGAUUUAUUGGGCGUAAAGGGAGUGUAGGCGGUCUUUUAAGUCUGAUGUGAAAGCCCACGGCUCAACCGUGGAGGGUCAUUGGAAACUGGGAGACUUGAGUGCAGAAGAGGAGAGCGGAAUUCCAUGUGUAGCGGUGAAAUGCGUAGAUAUAUGGAGGAACACCAGUGGCGAAGGCGGCUCUCUGGUCUGUAACUGACGCUGAGGCUCGAAAGCGUGGGGAGCAAACAGGAUUAGAUACCCCGGUAGUCCCUGUCUCUUAUAA
rnacentral:rRNA from 1 species